rnacentral:rRNA from 1 species
CCUACGAGUGGCAGCAGUGAGGAAUAUUGGUCAAUGGGCGCGAGCCUGAACCAGCCAAGUAGCGUGAAGGAUGACUGCCCUACGGGUUGUAAACUUCUUUUAUAAAGGAAUAAAGUGAGGCACGUGUGCCUUUUUGUAUGUACUUUAUGAAUAAGGAUCGGCUAACUCCGUGCCAGCAGCCGCGGUAAUACGGAGGAUCCGAGCGUUAUCCGGAUUUAUUGGGUUUAAAGGGAGCGUAGAUGGGUUGUUAAGUCAGUUGUGAAAGUUUGCGGCUCAACCGUAAAAUUGCAAUUGAUACUGGCAGUCUUGAGUACAGUGGAGGUAGGCGGAAGUCUGGGUGGAGCGGUGAAAUG